CUGUAGCAUCGGGUGCCAGGACCAGGCCUGCCACUUCAACGGUCACUGCUACCACUGUCCACCCGGUAGGACCGGCAGGUUCUGUGUUGAAGGUUUGAAUAAACCGGAAACAGUUAUAGACUACGGGGAGUUCAAGGUCAACAAGACGACCAAAAAAGUGGAUGAGAAGACCGAGGACGAUGACCUUGGCCCUGAGGGCGGUGUGCGCUGGACAUUGAUAGUGCUGUGUGUUGUGGUCAUCGGUGUGUGUACUUUUUGUUUGUGCUGCAAGAAGAAGGACCGGGUCCGCAUCCAGCCUUUUGUUGAUGAAGAAAAUGAUCCCCGGCCCCCCGAGUCACUAAAGGACAGAUAGUGACUACAAAUACAACACGAUACUGUAGUGGCGUAACUAGGUGGUGUGUUGGGGUGCCGUUCCCCCCG